rnacentral:lncRNA from 1 species
GAAGAGAGUCGAGACACAUCCAUAUCGUAUCAUGCAACUAAUUCGUGAAGGUGAACUUGAAACUUUUAAAGUGUCGAUUUCAGUCGUUCUUUCUCAGUUGAAGCAGAUGUUGUGUAUUCUACUUUGAUACGCAGUCAGCAUAUUAACAACACCCAAAGGAUCAAGUAGAUAUGGAGCAGACCGUCCGGUGAUAAUUACACCCUUAAUAUUAUAUUGUAAACAUGAAACAAGGACGCACUGAUACGUGGGUUAUUAUGAAGUUACUGGUCAUCAUCAAUA